GUUCAUCCCAAACAUAGUAUUUGGCAUCUUUCUUUAUCUUGUCUUUGGCGUGCUUUGGCAUGUCAGAAGGCAAGUUACCUGUAGCUAAGUAGUUCACCAUGUCUGCAUACUAUGGUUCAUCAGAUUGGGCAAGGAAGAUUUGUUCAAGUAAGUCAUGCUUACAUUUUUCAGACUCUGAGAGGUGUUGUUCUUUGCUUGACUGCAAUGGAGGUGG
rnacentral:lncRNA from 1 species